UCUUGAGAGUACAAAGAAACAAAUCUUUAAAGGUACAAUUUAAAGCACUCACACAUUAGAGGAGUGCCUGGAUUGCUUAACUGGUUAAGCAUUCGACUCUUGGUUUCAGCGCAGGUCAUAAUCUCAUGGUUCAUGAGUUCAAGCCCCCAGUUGGGCUCUGUGCUGACAGUGCGGAGCCUGCUUGGGAUUCUCUCUCUCCUGCUCUCUCUGCCCCUGUCCUGCUCAUGCUUUCUCUCUCUGUCUCUCAAAAUAAAUAAAUAAACUUAAAGAAAGAUAAAGCACUCACACAUUAGAAAGAGAGAUAUUUAGGCAUUAACUGGGUACUGUCCGUCCCCAUUCAAGUAUUAUCAUGCAAAAACUAUCUGCUUUAUAAAACUGGUUCUAGGGAAGGCAUAAUACCUGGGACGUGAUUCUUCAGCUAGAUUGGACAAAGGAUGUUUGAACCUCAAAAUCAAGCCAUCUACCACACAAGUUUGUCAAGAUUCAGUUCUGAGAACAACCAACGGGUUAUUAUAGAAAUUUGCUCAUUACACAGGCUUUUUGGGGCACUGAACUGUGGUGACAGAAUCUGUUUUAGGCCUAAGGACACAGCAGGAAAUAAGACAGGCAAGAUCCCUUUCGUCUUAGAGCUUUCAUGAUAAUGGAGAAGACAGGUAAUAAAGUGAUUCCCUUCUGCUCUGCAAGAGAGCAUGCCGAAAGAUGAACCUUAAAACUGCAAACAAUUUGGCCACGUUGCCCAUCUACAAGGCUGCCCAGCUUCUCCUUCGUUCUAGGGGUUCAGGGUCUGUGAACUGACUCCGAUCUGGGAAUUAGGGAGCAGCUGUGGCUUCCGUGGCGAUCCCAGUUUGUUUGUUUCACUAUACUCGGGGUUGUGUUGGUAGUACACGUCAAGGGGAACCUUAACGUAUCGCUCAUCUAUUUCUGGCCUCGGGACCCACUGUCAGUUACCCCCGCAUUCCCAAGAUCUCUGUGAGUCAACCCGUUCUGAUGAUCACUCUGUCUUUGCUGCCUAUUAUAGUCACCGUUGCCUCUGGCCGGUUAAGUACCGCUAUUUGGUUUUUGCCAUCUUGGACAUCGCUACAUCCUCACGGAAAUCAUGGAGUCCACUCUUAAUGGCACAUCUCCUAUCUCCAUCCCUGCCUUGCAGAAGCCAGCCAACGAAACACCCCUCAAGGAUGGCGGUGCCCCUUCCGUCAGUGUAUUUCUGGGUAAAGGGCAUGGACUCUAGUCCUCUCGGGACAUAAUUAGGAGGCGGAUGAGCAGGUGACGUGAGUGAAAUCCAUGCCAACGUGCUUGUCCCCUACGUCUUUGCGUUACUUCUCCGUUAAACGAAAGAAACUCGCGAUCUCUAGUUCCGGCAUCACGGGUCAUGGUUGAGAUCAAGUUGCAGUGAGCCUACUGAACGAACGAGUCCCAGCUGCUCACACUAGCACAUCGAAUCCACAGACCAGCGCAUUCGGCUCUCUGUAAAAUUACAUUCCUCCUUCGCUGGACCAGCAUCCUCAGCAUGGAAAUACAGAUUUCCUGGAAUCUGGCUACUGGUUUCCUGGAAUCUUGCCAACGAAUUGUACUUGUAUCAAAACCAAACAGAGGAGGUGGCGGUCGGGACCCUUUGGUCCCUUCCGACGUGGGCAAGGAGAAGAAAAGUUCUUAUGAAAGGUGGAGAUGGGGCGCCUGGGUGGCUCGGUCGGUUGGGCCUCCGACUCCGGCUCAGGUCAUGAUCUUGUGGUCUGUGAGUUCGAGCCCCGCAUCGGGCUCUGUGCUGACAGCUUGGAGCCUGGAGCCUGCUUCGGAUUCUGUGUCUCCCUCUCUCUCUGCCUUCCACCGUUCACGCUCUCUCUCUCUCAAAAAUAAACAUUAAAAAAAGAAAGGUGGAGAGGAGCAGCAGACAUGUGAGAUGUUUUGUAAGCCCCCGCAGCACAGAGAGCAGCUCACAGUGGGUUAGCCUAGGGCCUAGAAGUGUCUCCUGACUUAAA